AUUGAACGCUGGCGGCAGGCCUAACACAUGCAAGUCGAGCGGAUCGGCGGACGGGUGAGUAAUGACUAGGACUCUGCCUGGUCGUGGGGGAUAACGACCGGCAACGGGAGCUAAUACAGCAAACUCUCAGAUGAGCCUAGGUCGGCUUAGAUAGUUGGUGGUGGAAAGGCCUACCAAGGCGACGAUCCGUACCUGGUCUGAGAGGAUGAUCAGUCACACUGGAACUGAGACACGGUCCAGACUCCUACGGGAGGCAGCAGUGGGGAAUAUUGGACAAUGGGCGCAAGCCUGAUCCAGCCAUGCCGCGUGUGUGAAGAAGGUCUUCGGAUUGUAAAGCACUUUAAGUUGGGAGGCGUUACCUACAGAAUAAGCACCGGCUAACUUCGUGCCAGCAGCCGCGGUAAUAC
rnacentral:rRNA from 1 species